UAUCUCAAUGCCAAGUUCACCAAACAGCCUUUUCCAUAUUUACACUCACUCUGAGGUAGGUGCUAUGUUAAGUGCUGAGACAUAGAUGAGUGAAGAAGGAAAAAACUCUGUCCUCACACCUGGUGGACAAGGCAGGUAGGUCUACUGAUAGCACAGGGAGGGCACAGGCAGAGGGAAUUCCUUUGGAUGUUUAUGUCAGUGGGCUUAAAGGUCCCUGAAAUAUCUAGACUUGGCGCUGAUGAGACUCAUCAAUAAAACAGAUGCUGUGGGGUUAGAGCUUUGCAACGUGUGCUGUAUUGUCAGGGUGUCGCAAGGUGAUAGACAUGUAACAAUGCCGUGAUAAGGACAGUGGGGCUGUCAGGUUGUCAUAUUACAACCCUUGCGUCAUGGUGUGGUGGUGGUGGUGGUGGUGGUGGCAUGUGGUAUAGAGUUGUGUUGGUGCCAAGUUCCAUUUCAUCGUGGUGGAAUGUUCUGGCCAUGUGCUGGAACAGCUGUCUCACAGCAAUGAUGCCCCAGCUUGCCAGGAUGUUCCAAGGCCAUGGUGACUCUGCUGUGCUCUGGUUUUGUGAGCUCGCAUUGUGAAGAGGCGGUGAGACCACUGGACCAGAAGUCAGAAGUGUGGAUACCGACCCCCCAACUAGGCCAUCUGUUGGCAAUCGAUGUCCGAGUCCAGUUUCACAACUGUAAAAUGAAGGCUAGUCUUCUGUUACAUGCCAGGCACAAAAGGUUUUUGGAAAGAAUAAAUUAAGUAAUGGAGCUAAAUGACCUGUAUUGUAUAAGCGAUCAUUAUUAUAGUCAUUAUAAUGAAGUCCAGUAAGUCUCUGUUAGGAGUGUCCGCGAUAGGUUUUGGAAAAUACUCUGUAACUGUACCGCCCACACCCCCAUGGCCUUGCUAGUCAGUGGNUAGGAGUGUCCGCGAUAGGUUUUGGAAAAUACUCUGUAACUGUACCGCCCACACUCCCAUGGCCUUGCUAGUCACAAGCAAAGCAGAAGUGUAGCAUAUAAAUUUGAUUUCUCAGGGCAUCCGAAGUGUAGGUGAGGAUCAUUUUGUUGUAACAAGGUUUACACCAAAAAAAAAAAAUCAAUUUUACAACUAAAUAAAAACACUUUUGGGAAUAAGAGGGCA
rnacentral:lncRNA from 1 species